rnacentral:rRNA from 1 species
AUUGAACGCUGGCGGCAUGCCUUACACAUGCAAGUCGAACGGUGACAGGCCUUCGGGCGCUGACGAGUGGCGAACGGGUGAGUAAUGCAUCGGAACGAGCCCAGUCGUGGGGGAUAACGCAGCGAAAGCUGUGCUAAUACCGCAUACGAUCUGCGGAUGAAAGCGGGGGACCUUCGGGCCUCGCGCGAUUGGAGCGGCCGCAGUCAGAUUGGGUAGGUGGUGGGGUAAAGGCUCACCAAGCCAAAGAUCUGUAGCUGUUCUGAGAGGACGACCAGCCACACUGGGACUGAGACACGGCCCAGACUCCUACGGGAGGCAGCAGUGGGGAAUUUUGGACAAUGGGCGCAAGCCUGAUCCAGCAAUGCCGCGUGCAGGAAGAAGGCCUUCGGGUUGUAAACUGCUUUUGUACGGAGCGAAAAGGCUCCCUCUAAUACAGGGGGCUCAUGACGGUACCGUAAGAAUAAGCACCGGCUAACUACGUGCCAGCCGCCGCCGUAACAC